AGGAUAAUAGUUAAUUAUAACAUUUGAUUUGCACUCAGAAAGUAUUGAAUUUAAUCAAUUUAUCUUG
rnacentral:tRNA from 1 species